GACGAACGCUGGCGGCGUGCUUAACACAUGCAAGUCGAGCGGAGCGGCGAACGGGUGAGUAACGCGUGAGUAACUGCCCCCCUCUCUGGGAUAACAGUUGGAAACGGCUGCUAAUACCGGAUAGUGGGGGAUGACUCGCGUCCUAUCAGCUUGUUGGUGGGGUAGUGGCCUACCAAGGCGACGACGGGUAGCCGGCCUGAGAGGGCGACCGGCCAAAGGGGGUUGAGAUACGGCCCAACCUCCUACGGGAGGCAGCAGGGGGGAAUAUUGCGCAAGGGGGAAAACCCUGAGGCAGCAACGCCGCGUGGGGGAUGGCGGCCUUCGGGUUGUAAACCGCUUUCAGCCAUGCAGCGGUAGUGGCAGAAGAAGCACCGUCUAACUACGGGCCAGCAGCCGCGGUAAUUC
rnacentral:rRNA from 1 species